UCUGUGCUCUUUUCCCUCUUUCAGUGCAGAUAAUGACGACUGACUGAGGGGUUUUGCCUAUUAUGGGAGGUUAUUUUUAAUCUAGUCUUAUAGCUGAGGAUGUUAAGGACCACUAGUUAGACGCAUCCCACCCACUACUAAGGCAAUUCUUUUUUAAAUGUCACCUGCCUGAGAAUUCCAUUCACUGCCAUGUACAAGAACAUGUAGCCAAGAAUAUGGUCCUAUGGGAACACUGUCUUCUGAGAACAAGUGCAGGAUGAAAAAAACAACAAUGUUGUAUUUCAAUCACCACUUCUCUGGAUUUCUGCUUAUACCCUUCAGGAAGAAUAAGUCAGGGUUGUGAAUGCCCUGUCUACCUUGCGAGCCAUGGACAAUGGGGAUACACCAGUAGUAAGCAAAGCAAUCAGCUCCCAGGCAGAGGGGAAGACUGCAUUUGCAUUGUAAAAUUGCAGCAGGAAACAUCAUAUGAGAACUCACCAGGAGCGGGCGCUUUGAUCAAGGUGGUGUCACCCCCUCCCACCCCCAGAAGAGACAGAAGACUGAAUCCCCCAGGACACCUUCCUGGCUCUUGACACCAGGACAAUGAACUUUGGGGGAAUAUAUGGACCUGGAAAAAAGAUGUUGGGUUAUCCUUCACCUGAGGAGGCAAGGAAACAGAGAGCUUUGUGCUCUGUGUUGGAUCCUGGCUGAAGACUGGCCAGCUGUGCUGGAAGAAUGACUAUGGUGAGAAUGAAAACUACUUUGAACAAAAGAUUCUAGUUUGUUAAGUUGGAUUUUAGAUUUAGAAGCAUAUUUGUACUUGUAUCUAUUUGUAACCAUUUCUAUCCCUGUUCCUUCUGCUUGGCAUCAUUUAAAUCUGGGUUCUACCGUUAAUAAACUUGUUAUC